GACGAACGCUGGCGGCGUGCUUAACACAUGCAAGUCGUACGGUAAGGCCCUUUCGGGGGUACACGAGUGGCGAACGGGUGAGUAACACGUGAGUAACCUGCCCACAACUUUGGGAUAACGCUAGGAAACUGGUGCUAAUACUGGAUAUGUGUUCCUGCUGCAUGGUGGGGGUUGGAAAGCUCCGGCGGUUGUGGAUGGACUCGCGGCCUAUCAGCUUGUUGGUGGGGUAGUGGCCUACCAAGGCGGCGACGGGUAGCCGGCCUGAGAGGGUGACCGGCCACAUUGGGACUGAGAUACGGCCCAGACUCCAACGGGAGGCAGCAGAGGGAAUAUUGCACAAUGGGCGCAAGCCUGAUGCAGCAACGCCGCGUGCGGGAUGACGGCCUUCGGGUUGUAAACCGCUUUCAGCAGGGACGAAGCUUUUUGUGACGGUACCUGCAGAAGAAGCACCGGCUAACUACGUG
rnacentral:rRNA from 1 species